GGGUUGUGAGGUUAAGCGACUAAGCGUACACGGUGGAUGCCCUGGCAGUCAGAGGCGAUGAAGGACGUGCUAAUCUGCGAAAAGCGUCGGUAAGGUGAUAUGAACCGUUAUAACCGGCGAUGUCCGAAUGGGGAAACCCAGUGUGAUUCGUCACACUAUCGUUAACUGAAUACAUAGGUUAACGAGGCGAACCGGGGAACUGAAACAUCUAAGUACCCGAGGAAAAGAAAUCAACCGAGAUUCCCCCAGUAGCGGCGAGCGAACGGGGAGCAGCCCAGAGUCUGAAUCAGCUUGUGUGUUAGUGGAACGGUCUGGAAAGUCCGACGGUACAGGGUGAUAGUCCCGUACACCAAAAUGCACAGGCUGUGAACUCGAAGAGUAGGGCGGGACACGUGGUAUCCUGUCUGAAUAUGGGGGACCAUCCUCCAAGGCUAAAUACUCCUGACUGACCGAUAGUGAACCAGUACCGUGAGGGAAAGGCGAAAAGAACCCCGGCGAGGGGAGUGAAAAAGAACCUGAAACCGUGUACGUACAAGCAGUGGGAGCACCUUCGGGUGUGACUGCGUACCUUUUGUAUAAUGGGUCAGCGACUUAUAUUCUGUAGCAAGGUUAACCGUAUAGGGGAGCCGCAGGGAAACCGAGUCUUAACUGGGCGUUAAGUUGCAGGGUAUAGACCCGAAACCCGGUGAUCUAGCCAUGGGCAGGUUGAAGGUUGGGUAACACUAACUGGAGGACCGAACCGACUAAUGUUGAAAAAUUAGCGGAUGACUUGUGGCUGGGGGUGAAAGGCCAAUCAAACCGGGAGAUAGCUGGUUCUCCCCGAAAGCUAUUUAGGUAGCGCCUCGUGAACUCAUCUUCGGGGUAGAGCACUGUUUCGGCUAGGGGUCAUCCCGACUUACCAACCCGAUGCAAACUACGAAUACCGAAGAAUGUUAUCACGGGAGACACACGGCGGGUGCUAACGUCCGUCGUGAAGAGGGAAACAACCCAGACCGCCAGCUAAGGUCCCAAAGUCAUGGUUAAGUGGGAAACGAUGUGGGAAGGCACAGACAGCCAGGAUGUUGGCUUAGAAGCAGCCAUCAUUUAAAGAAAGCGUAAUAGCUCACUGGUCGAGUCGGCCUGCGCGGAAGAUGUAACGGGGCUAAACCAUGCACCGAAGCUGCGGCAGCGACACUAUGUGUUGUUGGGUAGGGGAGCGUUCUGUAAGCCUGCGAAGGUGACCUGUGAGGGUUGCUGGAGGUAUCAGAAGUGCGAAUGCUGACAUAAGUAACGAUAAAGCGGGUGAAAAGCCCGCUCGCCGGAAGACCAAGGGUUCCUGUCCAACGUUAAUCGGGGCAGGGUGAGUCGACCCCUAAGGCGAGGCCGAAAGGCGUAGUCGAUGGGAAACAGGUUAAUAUUCCUGUACUUGGUGUUACUGCGAAGGGGGGACGGAGAAGGCUAUGUUAGCCGGGCGACGGUUGUCCCGGUUUAAGCAUGUAGGCUGGUUAUCCAGGCAAAUCCGGAUAAUCAAGGCUGAGGUGUGAUGACGAGGCACUACGGUGCUGAAGUAACAAAUGCCCUGCUUCCAGGAAAAGCCUCUAAGCAUCAGGUAACAUCAAAUCGUACCCCAAACCGACACAGGUGGUCAGGUAGAGAAUACCAAGGCGCUUGAGAGAACUCGGGUGAAGGAACUAGGCAAAAUGGUGCCGUAACUUCGGGAGAAGGCACGCUGGUGUGUAGGUGAAGCCCCUGCGGGUGGAGCUGAGACCAGUCGAAGAUACCAGCUGGCUGCAACUGUUUAUUAAAAACACAGCACUGUGCAAACACGAAAGUGGACGUAUACGGUGUGACGCCUGCCCGGUGCCGGAAGGUUAAUUGAUGGGGUUAUCCGUAAGGAGAAGCUCUUGAUCGAAGCCCCGGUAAACGGCGGCCGUAACUAUAACGGUCCUAAGGUAGCGAAAUUCCUUGUCGGGUAAGUUCCGACCUGCACGAAUGGCGUAAUGAUGGCCAGGCUGUCUCCACCCGAGACUCAGUGAAAUUGAACUCGCUGUGAAGAUGCAGUGUACCCGCGGCAAGACGGAAAGACCCGUGAACCUUUACUAUAGCUUGACACUGAACAUUGAGCCUUGAUGUGUAGGAUAGGUGGGAGGCUUUGAAGCGUGGACGCCAGUCUGCGUGGAGCCAACCUUGAAAUACCACCCUUUAAUGUUUGAUGUUCUAACGUUGGCCCCUUACCGGGGUUGCGGACAGUGUCUGGUGGGUAGUUUGACUGGGGCGGUCUCCUCCCAAAGCGUAACGGAGGAGCACGAAGGUUAGCUAAUCCUGGUCGGACAUCAGGAGGUUAGUGCAAUGGCAUAAGCUAGCUUGACUGCGAGCGUGACGGCGCGAGCAGGUGCGAAAGCAGGUCAUAGUGAUCCGGUGGUUCUGAAUGGAAGGGCCAUCGCUCAACGGAUAAAAGGUACUCCGGGGAUAACAGGCUGAUACCGCCCAAGAGUUCAUAUCGACGGCGGUGUUUGGCACCUCGAUGUCGGCUCAUCACAUCCUGGGGCUGAAGUAGGUCCCAAGGGUAUGGCUGUUCGCCAUUUAAAGUGGUACGCGAGCUGGGUUUAGAACGUCGUGAGACAGUUCGGUCCCUAUCUGCCGUGGGCGCUGGAGAAUUGAGGGGGGCUGCUCCUAGUACGAGAGGACCGGAGUGGACGCAUCACUGGUGUUCGGGUUGUCAUGCCAAUGGCACUGCCCGGUAGCUAAAUGCGGAAGAGAUAAGUGCUGAAAGCAUCUAAGCACGAAACUUGCCCCGAGAUGAGUUCUCCCUGAGACUUUAAGUCUCCUGAAGGAACGUUGAAGACGACGACGUUGAUAGGCCGGGUGUGUAAGCGCAGCGAUGCGUUGAGCUAACCGGUACUAAUGAACCGUGAGGCUUAACCUUACAACGCCGAAG
rnacentral:rRNA from 1 species